UACAGAGGUCUCAAGCGUUGUUCGGAUUCAUUGGGCGUAAAGGGUGUGUAGGUGGCGCCGUAAGUCGGGUGUGAAAUUUCGGAGCUUAACUCCGAAACUGCAUUCGAUACUGCGGUGCUUGAGGACUGGAGAGGAGACUGGAAUUCAUGGUGUAGCAGUGAAAUGCGUAGAGAUCGGGAGGAACACCAGUGGCGAAGGCGGCUACCUGGACCAGCACUGACACUGAGGCACGAAAGCGUGGGGAGCAAACAGG
rnacentral:rRNA from 1 species